AAAAAGCCACAAGCCCCAUGAAGACCCCCGGGAUUCACGGAUCUUGCCUCGAGUCCUCCAGCUUAUUUAUUCUCCUCUCUCUCAGAAGCAAGGCAGAAUUUUUUGGAGGAGUAAGAAUUCUCUCUACGAGAAAUCAAACAAGACCUCAAGGAAAUUUUCAUGUCUUGUAAUCUUUUCCAUUUCUCAAAUUGUAAAGCAAUAUUGUAAACACUUUCUUUAUUUUCUUUCUCUCUACAACGCUUUCGGGAUUCAAGUAGACUUGUAAGAUCUCGAUCUAAUGUAAUUUUAUUUCCUGUAAUUAAAUUCAAAGCUUUAAAUUAUAUUUUCAAUUCUGUCUUUUAUUUUCAGAAGCAUGUACUGCAGGCUGAUCUUCUAUAUCAGAAUCCUGCCAUAAAACCAGUUACUUUCCUCUAAGGCAAAGAGACUAGAUCUCUGUCCUUAGUUGUACCUUCUCUUCUCCCUCCAUUCAAUCAGAAUACUAGUUCUAGGAUCCAUAUCUAGUAUUAUUUGUGAGCCCCUUUUGCGGUAUAUAGGCUGGAAAACAGAACAUGCGAGAUAUUGAUCUGUUCUAAGUCAGAUCUGGUCUCAAAGGCAGACUUAGUUUUGCAUUGAUCUGGUAACAAUGCCACGUACCAAUUUUUAUUGCUUAUUAUUUUGUCUUUAAAUUAAAUGAAAAAAACAAAUGUUACCUUAGUGUCACGGGCCGCUCAAAUUUGCCACCAACGGAGGUUAAAUUGGUGCGCACAUGUACGCUAAGUAAAAGACCGGCCAAAGGUGGAGUGCGCUAAGCAACAGGGUCCGCUCAGAAAUGGACCGCCUCAUAUAAUUAGCAAGUCAUGGUGCAUUUAGCAAGCGGCCAAAGUGAGCAAACCUAGCUCGAUUUUAGAAAUCUCUAUAACUCUCUACAACUUGUAAGUAUCUAGAUAAUUCCACACGUAUGUAUAGCUUGACUUCUCCAAAACUUAGGAGAUUUUUAGGCAAUUUGCGCAAGUUGUGCAAGUGGCAUAAAACUUUCUAGACCUAGGCAAGCCACUCUAUAAAAUAGGGUAUGACACCCACCAUUUUUGUCGACACCACACCACACACUAAGCAACUCCAGCAUCCUUGUCAAGCUUUCUUGUAUUCUCUCUUGUGAGUAAUAAAAUUCUCUUUAACCAUAUUACUUUUUCUUCUUUCUAGCUUUCUCCCAAGCAUUCUUCCUUAGUCAGCUUGAGGAGUUCAAUAGGCUUACUUAACAACUAUUGUGCUAAAAGUUGUUUAAGUAUCGUAAGAGUUACUAUGCAACAAACUCAUCAUGUGACAUUAGUCCAUGCACCUUUUGAAGAAGUAAUUUGAUGGGUCAAACUGCCACUAUAGAUUUACCCAUUAAAUCCCAACCAAAAUAUUAGUACUUUGAGUUGGACUAUUGGUACCCCUUUAAUCUCCUCAUAAAACUUUUUUUUUUUUUACAGUUAUUCUUACUUUAAUUUAAAAAAGUCUAAAAAUAAAACACUCUUCUAUUUUUAACUUAAUUUUUUUAUUGUUAAAAUUUAAAGUAGCAUCUAUUUUUUUUUCUUUUGCAAUCUUAUUAUUACUCUACACAAACAUUUAAAAAUUUUUGGGUAAUAAGUUUUUUAAUGUCAAUCAUUCACGUCAAUUACAUAUAUUUUUAAUAAUAAUUUGAAAGCAAUCUAAAGUUCAUAAAUGUUCAAUCAGUGAGAAAUAGAAAAGGAACAAUAAAUUAUUUUAAAUAUGUUUAAUUUAAUUUUGGUUAGAUAGGAAGUGACAAGUUAAAAAAAAAUGAUUGAUUAUGUAUGUAAGUAAUUUGCAAGGAAAGAAAAUUAAUGUGUUUAAUUAGAUUCAUAUUUAUCCUUAAAUGUAAUUGCACACAAAGUGAGGUUCUGUAAAGACUAUAAAGGGCUGCUAAAAGCUUCUGGCCCAACUUUGUCUUCUUCAAUUUUAAGCAAACUAGUCCCUUUUUGGGCAUAGCCUCACUUCUAAGGAAAUUAAUAAUAAUAAUAAUAAUAAUAAUAUAAUUUAUAUUUUUAAUCACUUCAAUCGCAUAAUAAACUUUAAACUCAGACCACUUAAACAUGAAUUAAGAUACUCUCUCUAUAUAUGGGCUCUCUUGAACUUUGAAAGUCAUGUAGAUUUUUUUUUAUUAAAUGAAAGUGUGUGUUUAAAAUGUAAUUGCUUCAAUAAUUUUAUUAAUAAACCGCGAAUCACCUAUAUAAAUUUUACUUAUGCAAAGUUCCUAUGUUAAAAAGGAGCCUUGAUUCCUUGAACACAUGCGUUGGUGUCAGCAAACUAAGGUAACCUAAAAGAAAAAAGAAAAAUAUCAUUCGUUAUUAUUCUCUAGCAUUUGUGGUUUUAAAAUUAUUGGUGUAAAAUGUUUGAUAAAUACUUAUAAUUUUAAUUUAAAAAUUAAGAUGAUAUUAUACUUUCUCUAUUUUGUCAAAAUAUUAACUCUAUAAAGGAAAAGUCAUAUUUUCCAAACAUCAUUCAAGACGUGCAAGAAGACAGAUUGGGCACAAGAGAUCCUAACUCCAAACAAAGCUUGAAUGUGAAAAAUGAUUUAAAUAAUUUAGACAAUAUAGUUUAAAAUCAUCAUGUUGGCUCUUGCAUUAUCGCAAUUGGCUUGUUUUUACUUGCCCUUUUUGCCAAAUAUACUGCUGAAAAUUACCCAUUUUGGUAGGUUCUCUCCACUUAAAAUUUUAUAAUCAUAAGAUUAAAUAUAUACUAAUAAAUAAGUGGACAUACUCUAUGUCUGCUGUAUGGAGGAACUAUGAUAAGAAUUGUUCUGAUUGUGGGAUCAUUUGCUCGUAUUUUAUUUUCAGCCAAAGUGCUUAGCUGCAGCCUGCUGCUACAAUUGCAUAUAUUCCAUUCUCUAAUCUCACAUCCCAAUUAAAGAACUAAAAUAAUUAUUGCAUUUAAGAAUCUUUAAUUGCUUACUCAACCAGAGAGAUUAUAUAAGUUAACCCAAUUUAGGAAGAAAAAUUAAUGAGGGCUCCCAUCAUUUUCACUCACAAAUCACAAUUCUUUUCAUCUCACCAAACAAACAAAAUAAUUUAAUGCCAUAUUUAAAGGGGACCGAUCAAUGCGGGCUCCUCCAUGAUAUCUUCUUGUCUAUAAGAUUCUCUCUAUUAUUUUGCCUGUGAAUGUGACUUGAUUGUCAUGAACCCAAAUAAACAUUACAGUUUUUUGUGUGUACUUUAAAUUUUAGUGGGAUAUGACUAGGGCUAGGUUAGGUAAAAGGAUAAUAUCUGGGGAUCUUCAACAAGCUUCACCAAUCAAGAAGCUGUUUGUAGACCAAAUUAUUGGGGAUCAGCACCCAGCACAGCCUCAGCUGCUUCAAAAUCAUGAAAACUGAUAGAUUCAUCAUGCAUUUGGAAUCAUGCUUGUUUAACAUCUCUUUGACAGGGGCCUUAGGCCACAUUCACCACACAUUGAGAAAACGCCCAAAAGUACUUUUAAAAAAGCCAAAACCAAAUUACAAGCACAUGUUAAAACAUAAAGGUUUGGAAUCUUUUAGGGUGUGUUUGAAUAAUAAUUAUCUUUUGUCAAAAACCCCAUGGACAAAAGCACGUUCUUUCAUCUAUGUAGCCGUAAGAAACUGCAGUUAGGCCUAACGUCGUAAUCAAUUUGGGUCUGAGUUCAUUUUCCCAUUUAGUCCCUCAAAUUGAGACUUGCAAACCGGGAAUUGUUGGUCUAAAUAUGGGAAAAUAUUCUCCACAGCUUACUCAUCUACCCAUCAAUAAAAGAUAUUAAAACUAGAGAAUCUCAUUAAGAUUUUGAUUAAGAAAGAAUAUGAUAAGUGAUCACAUUAAAUUAAAGGCCCUUUCAAUGUAUUCUCCCCCACUAAAAGAUAAUUUUAGAUCUUGUCUUGUUAUCAUGUACAACAAAAACACAAUAAUUUCUUCAUGGCAUGUUUCUUUCUACUCAUCAUUCUGGUAAAUACAAUAGUGGCAUUACAUACAGAUCAUACAGAAUCAUUCCCGUAACAACUUAUUCUGUAUCUUAACAUAAAAAUAAUUGUAUGCCCGAAGGAACUCAAAUGCCGAUACAUUUUGAACAGGUAGGAUGCAGCAUCAUUACUGAAAGAAGAUGAAGAAAAGGAAAAAAAUAGGAAAAGAGAUGAAGCAGAUUGGGUGAAGAUAUUGUCUCCUAAUUUUCAAAAGUAAAAGCUGAAGUUUGGUCUUGUUCAGUCUCAGAAGAAGAAAUAUUCAAGGUCUAAGUGCAAGAUAAGAAGAACAAUGAGAUCUUUUUGCAGGUUCUAGCCUAAUAUGUCAAGCUAUUGAGAACCAAAAAGGGCAUCAUGAUAACGAAGUACUGGUAAUCGUGUUUAACAGACCUUACCCAUGAACAAGCUCUGACUGGGGAGAGAAAUGAAGUUCCAAGCUAUCUAAGUUAAAAAGAUGGGAAGUUGACAGGCUAAUUCUACCAAAAUUCCAGAAAUAUCUGUCACCAAGGAAACAGAUUAAACUCAAAAGUCAAAACCUUAAAUUCAUGGGAAAAAUUGGAAGUUUUAAAAGCAAAGCAAACAAGGAAAUUAAACAGGAAACUAGAAGCUUUAUGAUAUAGAAAUAGAUGGUCUCAGUUUCUUCCACGAAAACAUGAGCAUUUUAGUACCCUUAUACCAAUUCCGAGAGUAAAUAAAACUCAGAUUCAAUACACAAGGAAAGCUAAUCCUGCAAAAUUUCACAGCCUCUCUCUUUCUCUCAAGAUCCUUCUCCUUUAUAUAUAGUAUAUAAUUAUUGUUAUAUAGUCAUAAAACUUCCUCCCAUGUAUACUUUUAUCUGCAAAAUUCAUGGUGGAUAAACUCUAUACAUCAUUCUUUUCCAGAUUUGUGAAUAUGACUUUUCCAGCUAUAGCCCUCAGAUUUUGCAUCUUCAUCAUCCUCCAUGCUAUCACCUCCAGUAGUAGAGGUCCCUCCAGUGUUUCCAGUUAACUGGAGAGGGCCCUGAGGAGAACCAGAUUGGGAACUGCUCGCCUUUGAGGAGUCACCAUACUGAUCUUGAGACAUCCACAAACUCCCCAAAACAACUGUUGAUUGGUUUGCAGGAGCAGCUGGAACAGCAGGUGACGUUCUACGAGUGUGAAGUCGGUAUUUCUAGAAUGACAAGAAAAAUCUUUUGUCAAUCUCCACAAAAUUCAAAUUUCAUACAUUACAAAUAAGAGCAUAGGAAUUAGAAAGGAACUUCAUAGAAGUCAGUUCCUAACUUAAGCUUCUAAGGUGUUGACUUUGACAUCGCUCAUUCUUCCCAAUAAUCGAACAAGAUGGAAGAACAAUAACUCACCUGCAAAUGACUCUUUACUUCAUCGUUGGUCAAGCCAUCAACUUGCAUAAGUUCUCUAAUCUGCUUUGGAGUGGCAACUGCAACCAAAAUGCUCAAUAGUCAAUAUUAGAUGCUUCAAGAUAAAUGAAUCAAAGAUUAAAAGCCAUCACAACUACUUAAGCCAAGGGAACCAAAGAUACAACAAAAUUGAGUAUCAUGGUUGCUGUAAAGAUUCAUUUGUGUUGUACAAUUUCUUCUAGCCAGGUCUAUAAAUCUACUUGAAGCAUCAUUGAAUCGGAAAACAAUUUCCAAUAUUUGCCAAUUUAAUCUCUGGCCUAAAGGAAUCCAAUCCAACAACUCAACUACAAGAUCAUAGCAACACUACCAUACAUCACAAUCAAAAAAUCAUCUUAACCAAGAAAUUUAGUUCAUCACUGACCUUGUGAGCCUCCAAGUUGCUGCAAGGCACUGACAAACCGGCGGUGCAAUUCUGGUGACCAGCACCUCCUCUGCUUCCUAUUGGUCUGUUGCUGAGGUGGCUGUGGCCCAGUCCUCAAAUUUGACUGUACAUUAGGGGCCGAAGAGGAAACUGAUUUACUACAACUGGUUCUUGAACCAGUAGAACCUGUAUCCUCUCUAGGAUUCUUCAUUCCAGGAGUAACAAGAGACAACCCAUGAACUGGCAACUCCUCUUUGUCAUCCUUUCUCGGGAAAACUGGACAGGUCUUAAACGGCAGAAAUGCCGUUGCUCCAGCCCCAGCUCCAGCCACUGCCCCAGCCCUACUUUUACAGGCCUGGAAUGGAUUCUCUUCUUCAUUUCUCUGCCAUAAAUGAAAAAAACAACCAAAGCAGAAAAACAUCAAAAUCAAUUCUUUCAAACUCUCGCGUUUUUCAUAUUGUUAACUUCGUUUUAGGUUUGUACCUUAAUUUUUAAAUUAAGAUUUUGCUUCGAAUCAAAGAUGGGAUCAUUAGUUGGAUGAUUAUCAUCAGUGUUCCAGAGCUGAACAGAGCUCAUCCAGUUUUUCUUGUUAUCUUUACUAGAGUCUUUUUCUUUUUUGAUUGGUCUCACAUCUUCAUCAUCAUCUUCAGAGUUGUUAUUCUUCAAUGGAAUAAAUUCUUCCAACACUGGUUGCACUUUCUUUGAUGCUCUAGCACAUUGCAUUGACUCCUCCUUCAAUACCAAAAUUGCUACAAAAACAACACAGGUGUAUCAGAAGAAGCUCAAUUGACUUUAUAAAAAAAUCUAAAAUAAAAAUUGAAUUUUUCAACAACUAAAACCAAUCAAAACCAUAACAAACCAAAACACAUCUCUCAAAAACAAUUUUUUAAAACAACCCGAUUAAGGAUUUGAUGUUUAGAAAUAAAGAAGCAAAAAAAAAAUUGAAAGACGAACCAUCGUUCAAGAGGAGCAUGCAAAGAGGAAGCUCGCGUUUAAAGGCAUCGAUCUUUCUCAAUUCAUCUUCUAAUCCCUUGAGAAAGGAAUCAAGCUUGGAAAGUUUCUCAGAAACAUUACCGAUCAUAGAAACUUCCCUGAGAAAAUCAGUGAUCGUUUUUGGCACAAAAUUUGUAGGUCUAAAAUCCAAGCUCAGUUCUGGCGGAACCGAACCCAUUUCUCAAAACUCAAAACUUUUCUCUUAUCCCUUUCCUUAGAAAUCUGAUUUUGUUUCUCCUAUUGUAUGUAUAUGUCGGUUUGUCUGAUAAUGGAUGCUGCAACUGAGGAAGAAAAUAGGAGAGAAUAAGAAAUGGGGAGAUCUCUGUGUAUAUAUAGAGAAAAUAUAUCACACAUAUAUGUAUGUGUAUGUAUAGAUGUACAGAUGAAUAGAUGUAUGUAUGCGGUGAGAUUGAGAGAGAGAGAGAGAGGUGUUUUUGUAUUUUGUAUUUUGUAUUUUGUAUUUUGUUUUGUUGGGUUGUUUGGAGAGAAAGAAAGAGAGAGAAAGAAAGAGAAAAAAAGGAAUAAAAGAAGAAAACGAGCAGAGAGUGGGAAGAGGAAAUUUGGAACGCCCAAAAGAUUCUGUGUCUUGUGAUUUUUGGUCUAUUUACUCUCUCUCGCGUCGUCGCGUCCUUCAUCCGCUGCUCUGAAUUUCCUUUCCUUUUUUUCUUCAACUCGCUCCUCUCCAACUCACCGUUUAGUUUUAGGUCCCCACGCUUUAGUAAUAUUAAAUACUUGACCCUGUACUUUUGCUCAAUUGCUUGCAAAUCCUUAAUAAUAUUAUUUUUAAUAUCAACUAUUCGGGGUGUGACUAUUAUAAAUCUGAAAUAUUUUACAGGAUACUACAUGUUAAAAAAUUGAUACUACUAUGGACGGUGCUCGUGAUUUGGCAGGUUUAGGAGUUAUAGUAGCUCGUGAUUGGUAAAAUAAGUUAUAUCAACAUGCAUUGAUUAUACUAAGAUUAUGGUGCUUAAAUUUACUUUGAGUGGUUGUGUUUGACGCAAGUUUGUUGUUCACUUAUUAUUGAGUUCGACUCUAACAAAGUAGUUCGCUUGAUAUAUUAUAACUCGAUCUUCUAAUGGUACAACUCAUCAAUUAGCAAAAAUUGUUUUAUAAGUUAGUUUUUUUUUGUGAUCUAGUUAGAAGAUAUUUAUCAAUAAGUAUUGACUCUUUAUAAUGUCUAGUGUUUGACUUUUGGAUGAAUGUUUAUUUGACAAAAAAAUAUAUAAGUCUAUAGAUUAACAUAUUUUACGAGUAUACAAAUACAGUUUCAACAAAAUUCAAUGACAAAGACUUGUAUGAAGUGAGUUACAAAAUAUAUACUCAUUUCAUAAUUUUUAAAAAUACUAGGGAUUCGGUUGUUAUCAUAGGAGCACAUUCCCAGUUUAUUACAUUAAAUUCAAAGUAAGUAUAAAAUUUCAUUUAUCCCUUUUAAUUUGUUGGUUCACAUCAAAAUCUCUUCCAUGUAUUAUCAAUAAAAAUUAUAUCAAAUGAAUCAAUUAAUAUUCAUAUUUUUAUAAAUAAUCAAAACUGUGAUUAAUUUGAAAGUAUUUAAAAAAUGUAAUGCAGUAAAAAGUAUUCAGGGUUAGUAUGGAAUAUCUCACAAGUUUCCUUUUAUAAAAAUAGCAAAUAGGUAUUUUGUUUUUUUUUUAGAAUUUAACAGUGUUUUUUCCUUUUCUUCUAAAUUGCUUAACUCGAACUUAACUCAAACGAGGCAGCGAAUUUGACGACUCAUGAAUCGGAAUCUUUUUUUUUUUUUUAUCGUACACGGAGUACAAACUUUUCUUUUUUUUAAUGUCCUUUUCCCAUUUUUUAAUAUAUUUAUAAAAAAAAAGGGAAAUUUGAUUUCUUUAUUAUUUUUGCUUCAUAAGAUUCUCGAGGAUGAAGCUACCGAUUGCCAAAUGUCAUGUUGUAAAUACAAAAAUGUCAAAAGUUAUUGUCCCCUUUUUACCAAAAUGCCCUCCGCUUUUACCAACUGACUAAUCAACCCUAUAUAUAUAUAUUUAAUGGGGUAAGCAUCUAAAUCAUUGUAUCUUGAAUGGGUCAAUUGAGGUAAUCCAACAGAUAAUAUUAAAUGGAAAGGUGACAUUGCAGUCAAAUGAAGGAAACUAGUUUAAUCUUAAUAAAGCAAACUUUGGGGCUUGGCUUGUCUAGUGAGAUAGGUCAAGAAUCAUUUUAAGUUUUUUUUUGAAGCAAUAAGGGCCAUCUAAUUGGAAUGUUUUAGGGUUAGGCUUUGUUCACUGGGAUUCCAACACGUGUAUUUUACCAUUUCUUUUUAACUUAAUUCUUGUUCACCAUCUGCCUUAAGAUUCUUCUUUUUUCUUUCUUGAAAUGCUUGAUCUUUUGAUUCCAAAUUUCAAAGGGAAUCCCCCCCAUUUUCUAAUUAGCCUUUUGGGUUAGUGGUUAGAUUAGAAAAUAUCCACUUUUGUUGAUUCCGUAACCCUUGUUUCUUUGUGGUUAUUCUUUUAUACCUAAAAAGGUACACACAGUCCACCUAAGGACCAUUUAUUAAUUAGGAUUCUUGCAAAUUUUGUGAUUAUUUUAAUCGCGACCGUCCACACGCCAUUUAAAUAUCUGAAUUUGGUGGAAAAUUUGCUGGUUAAUUAGGAUUAUUAUAUGACCAUAGAAGUACAUAACCACAUCUCAUUUACAUCCAAUUAGAUGAAUGAGACUUGGCUUAAUUAGUGUUUUUAUAUUGCAGUUCAUGUGUUUAAAUUUUAAAUCCUGUAGGUGCCAUAUUUCAAAGACAGCAAAUCAUGCCACGUGUCUGUCCUUUCAGAUAAAAGAAGAUAUUUCAGGGUAAUAAUACCCUAACUAUUCCAGAGGAAUAGCACUUAAGGAAAAAUUCUUACAGAGCUCGUAAAAAUGGCAAGAGGGAAAAUUAUUUUCUCAAUCCAUUGGUCUAAGGAAAUCAUGCCCUAAGUUUAUAAUCACAAGAAAAUACGCACGUGUGAAAUAAUUUCCUACGACCAAAUUCACUUCCACGAGUACAGAAUUGAUAGUCAUGCCAUUAGGUUGAGGAUUCAAAACAAUACCUUAAAUCCACAUCACUCAUCGUCUAUAAAAAGAGACUCAUCUCUAAAAGAAAGGGGGUUUUUGACCUCCAAAAGCACUGUUUAUGCUUAGAGAGAGAAACUCAUAUUCUCCAUAUUUUUUUAUUUCUUUAAUCUUAAUUAAACACUAACUUAGAAGUCAGAGUACCUUACUCAUCCCUUUGAAUUCGAGGCCAAUGAUUGUGACAAGUUCUCUACAAAGUAUAAAUAAGUGUGAAGAUAAAAAAAUCCAACACAUUCAAAUCCAUUUUAAAAGACUUCUUAUUAACAUUUAAUAAGAUGUUUUUCAAUUUAAUUGGCUAAUAACCAUAAAAAAUCUUGUUACACUUGAUUUCAAAGUAAAGUUGAAGAAGAUAUAUACCUAAUGUUAUCACUAGAGCCUUGAAUCAAAUUUUAGCAUGCAUAAUGAACUUUUGUGAUAUCAUUAUUUUUUUUUAGCAUUAUUGUUUAUGUAAGAAUGUAGACAAAAUCUAAAUUAAUUUUUUAAUCCUCGCCUCCUCAAAAUUCGAGUAAGGAUGGAUUAAAAAAAUUACUUAAAAAUCACUUGCUUAGAACUUGAGGGCCAAUAAAAAUAUAUUAAAUAUAAAAAAUUUAACAGUGCCACAAGUAAAAUUAUUUAAAGUUGGAUUUAAACCUGUGCCAUACUAAAAGCUUACUACAAUAAUAAUUCUUUUAAAAAAAAAUUAUAAUUGGCAUCACAAAUUUUAACGAUUUUUACAGGGUGUAAAUAAUUUAUUCCGUUAAAAAAACAAUAUUUUAAUCCGUUCAAAAAAAAUAAAUAAAUACAUAAUCUCUUUCCUUUUUUUUUGAAAAAAGGGGAAAUUGUAAUGGUGGGAAUUCCUGAAACUGACAGAUUACUGGCAGUGAUUGGAUAUUGUCAAGCACACACACCUGAAAAGCGUGUGGAUUGGAUCAACAUCAAACAAACAAAAAUGGUUAACUUAGAGAUAAGGAAUCUUCAAGAUGUCAGGGUCCCACUUUUUGAUAUUGCCUGAGAUUUCAGUUGGAAAGAUUUGUCAACAAAGUUUUUAUUAUUUAUUUAUUUAUUUAUUUUAAGAAUAAAUAAAAACAAAAAUAAAAAGGAAAGACAGAUGAGAGAAGAUGCCUUUUUUUUCUCCCAAGCAAAUAAAGGACAAGCUUUUACAGCCAUUAGAUUCCGUCUUCUCUUCCAUACAAGUAAGAAUCUCUCUUUCCAUUCAUCAAAUUUGAUCGCUAAUUCUUUUAAUAAAAUAAAAUAAAUUAUUUAAGAAAACGAUAUUAAAAUAAUAAUAAUAAAAUUCUAUUAAUAAUUUUAUCUCAGAGGUGUAGGUUGGAUUGGAUCCACCCAAUUUCCCGCAUCUCCUUUGCUUUUUGUCUAUUGAGAUUUGGGAGAAUCUAUAAUUUUAUUUUUAUUCCACAAAAUUUCCCAAAAUACCCUUUCAUUUUAAGUUUUUUUUUUUUUCAAAGGAAUAAUCAACCCAUCAAAAAAAAUCGAAAAUAGUGUAAAGAUUGAAUGAAUGUGAUUUAUGAAGUCUUUUUCAGGGAUAAGUGGAAUAGGCAAUGUUUAUGCAAGUGGAGUCAUUUCGGCCCUAAUAAAAUUAAAUGUAGAUACGGCUUUCUCUUCAAAAUCAAAACUAUACCGAAGUUGAUUGAUUGGUAGCUGCCAUCUUCCUUUCAAACCCUAUUCCCUCCUCCCUCUUGGUCAUCAAAAUUUUCACUCUUAGACAUCAUCUAUUUCAAGUGUCUUAUGAUCCAAUAAUUAAAAUUUGUUUUCAUCAUAUAAUGUAAUAAUGUUGUAAACUUGAAUUUUAUUGUUUGAUUCAGAUAUAGUGGUGGAAUCAGAAUUUUUAAUCCGUGAUAUAUUUUAUUAUAGACAAUAACUAAUACUUUAUAAAUAAAUUUAUAAAAGAUGUAGAAGCUAAUGCUAUUAUCAUUUAGAAAAAAAGUUUUAAGUACCCAACAACAAGUGUAAUCACACUUUAUAUAAUUCCGUCAUUGUUUAUGUGAAACGUAGGAAAAUCAAUUAUUAUUUUUUAUUGAUAUUGCAAGUGAUUUGAAGCAUAGAUAAAAUAAUAUUAAUAAAUGUAAGGUCAUGAAAAAAAAACAAUUAUGAUAUUAUUGACAUAGUAAAAUGUCAAUAUAAAGGAAUAAUAGUAGGAAGAAGGGCAGUUUAGGUGACCCCCAAAGAAAAGAAAGAAUGGCUUGGCAUUCCUCAUGUAAAUGUGAAGAAUUUUUAUUAAUAUUCUUUCUCUAGAAAUGUGUCAAAGGGAAUUAGAUUCUCUUAAUCCUGCUUCCAUUGAAAGUAAUGAUAGCAAGGAAAUGAAGGAAUUGAAGCCAGCCACAGCCAGCCAGAUCAUUCUCAUAUAUAUAUAUAUAUAUAAGAUGUGAUAAUGAUGAUGAUUGAUGGGCGUCGUUCAAAUUUAUUUAUUUAUGCAAGAGAAACAAGUUGCCAAUUUGGUCAAUUCAAGAAAAAGGGUGGAAAGAAAAAAAAAAGGGGAAAUGUGGAAUUUACUCAUGGGAGAGAGAAAGUUUAGGUGGGAAGCUUGAGGAUUGACCAAGUGAGUGCCAACCAAUUGGUAUUAGAUGGACAAAAGCAAAGCAUCUUCUCUUCUUUUAUUCUCCCCUGUUUAAAAUUGUGGGAUACUCUCUUGGAAUCCAAGACUUGGUAUCUAAUAUCUACAACCAUCCAACUUUGUCUUCAAACUUACUAAUACCAUUUAGAAUAAUAUUACAACAUAGAUCAAGGCAAUACCAAUAAAGUUAGGGGUGGAACUAUAUAUAUAAUUGAAUUGAAAAUUUAUCAAUUUUUAUGCAUUAGUACUAUUUUAACAUCUUGUUUUUAUAUAUUUUAUGUUAUAGCUUACCAAAGCGUAUAAUUUUUAGAUUAUAAACCCCAUCGAAUCAAGAUUCUAUAAAGAUUUUUCUUUUGUGCAACUAUCUGUAUGAAUACUUGAAAUUUUAACUCUUAUUUGAUAUAACUUAUCUAAUAGUCGUAAUUGUUUGUUUAAUUCCAUAAGCUCUUUUUAAAGUUUUUUUUAUUGUACUUUGGCUAUUUUUUUAAUAAAACUUUUGAAGAUUAAAUGAGAAAUUUUACUUCUGCUACCAAAAGUUUAAAUUUUUAGGCAUUUUAGAGUAGAGAUUGUAAGAUUUUUUCAAAAUAUUAAAAUAUCUAAAAUAUUCUUUACUUAUUUGACAAUUUUAUUUCAUUCAUUUCACAACAUAAUUUUUUAAAAAACUUGCAUACUAAAGUAAUUUUAUAAUUCUUAAUAAAAACUCUCAUUGACAACCAAAAAACUAAUUUUUUUUUAGUAAAAUCUCUACUUGUAAAAACUUUACUAACAAAGGUUUUACUUGAAUAAGUUCUAUUUAAAAAAUUAUACCAAACGAAGCGUACUUGUAAUUUGACAUUACACUAUAAUGUUGGAAUUUUUUUUUUCCAAUUUAGGGUUGGAUUAUAAAAAAACUAUGUUCAAUUCUUUUGUGAAUAUCUUUGGAACCACGCGUAUCAAUUUGAUGUUUACACUUGCAAUUUUUUGGUUUAAAUAUUCUUUCAAGAUUUAAAUUUUUUGUUUCUCACAUAUUUUAUAAUUUCUAUCAUGUUGUUUUAAUUUGUGAUUGCUCUUAAUUAUUAUGUGACUUAAACAAUUGACUAACUUGCAAAACUAUUUGAAGUCUAUCCAAAUAGUGAUGUAAUGUUUUUUUUUUUUUUUAUUCAAGUGAGAGCACUAAUAGUAACGUAAAGAAUGGGUUAUAAUGUUAUAUACUUCAAUAGAGGCAAUUGAUGAGAAGAGUUGCAUGCGAUGGUAAUGCUCAAUCAUUUUCAUCUCCCAAGCAUUAUGUGUUAUUAUAAUCGUUGAUUCUAGAUAUGGUAUGAGCAUGCAAGACCUAGUAAUUGUCUUAAUUUUGUAGCAAAAUGAGAAAAAAAAACAUUAUUUCCAUUAAAACAAUCACAAGAAGACUACAAUGAUUCAAUUUAUGUAUUUUAUGUGGAUUGUGAAGGAUCCGUAUGUGGAUUUGAAAUCAUAGGAAUUCACACAUCUCAAUCUUUUGAUCAUUUCAUCUCAAUUUAGGUUCUUAAUAAAUGUGAAGCUAAUAAAAAUAUGUCUUUAGAUUGUUUUUCUCCUUGUCAUUGCAAGAUACAAGAGUAAUUAAAUUAAAGCUAACCCUUUUAACAAUUAAAAAAAAAAAGAAGUGAGAAGGAAUUAUAAAAAAUGAGGGAAGUAAAUCAGUAAUGCAUGUUUACUCAAUUUUACUAAACCUUCUUGAAAAUGGAAACAACCCAUAAAAGAAUCUUAGCUGCUUCUAUUUGGUUCUCUUUUCUACUGCUGCAACUAUAAGAUGCAACAGAAAAUAGACAUUUUUGUUCGCCCUUUUUAGCAUAAGACACCAAAGAUUAGUUUAAAAAAUGAAAGAAAGAAAGAAAAAAAGGCAGCAGCAGCAAAAAAAUCUUUGGCAAUAGUGGACAUAUACUUAUGCCCACCAGUAAUAAAGAAUGUAACUUUUUCUCAAUUGCAGCACAUGACAGUCUGCUUCAAAUUUCCACAAGAUUCAUUGAUUCAUUCAUCCGCCCAUACGCAUUGCGCCACGCCCUUUCACUUUCAAGAAAGGUACAAACCAACUACACAUUGAAUCCAAAGAGAAGAGAAAAUGAACACACAUAAAUUAAAAGAUACCUUAUAUUCAAGGUCUUUGAAGAGGACAAGAAGAAGAAGAAGAAGACGUGUAAAUUAAACAAAUAAAAAUUGUACAAAAUUCCAAUUCAAUUCUUAUUCUUAUCUCCUCAAAAGAGCAUCUUUCACGUGAUGACAAGCUCAUGUUCAUGGCAUUUAUGUGAGCCCCUAGUAGUCUUUUCAUGAAGGUAUCUUUUUGUCCCAUUAAUAAUUUUUGUAUUUCCGUUUUCUGAUUUCUUCUUGGGGGCAAAAAUUGCUUGUGACCAUGGAAUCUUGUUAAAUGAUGGGCUUGAUAAGUUUUUGAUCUCUUGUGAGGAUGUUUUUGUCAUUUAGGGUUUUGGGGGUGUCUCCGUCUGCUUUUUAUGGGUUGUUGUGUGGCAUUAUUGUUAGUGCUAAGCUUGUGCCCUUAACAAGAAUCCCACUUACCCUUCCCUCUUUUCCUAUCCCAAACAUCAUCAUUUUUUUUUCCCAAAAUCUUCUUUUUCACAUUUUACUCCUUUUUCUUUUCAUUUUUAUUUUUUAAAUUUCUGUUUUGAAUUUCAAUUUAGAGAAGAAAGAUGUAACAGAAGCUACCUUUGUUGAUAGGGUCUUUUGUAAGUUUUUAUAAUAUGUUAUCAAAUUGAAUCUUAUUCAAGCAUCAAGAUUGAGAACGAUUUACUUUACACCUAAGCUAUGUUAGGAUUUUCUUUUUUUUUUUAAAAAAAAAAAAAAGAGAGACGAGAGAAAACAUAAAAAUUAAUUAAAUAAAAAAAGAAGGUAUAAAUUUUAACGCCUCCGAUAAAAUAAUAAUAAUCAAUAAUAAACAUAAUGAUCAAUAAGAUGAAAAUAUUAUGUCGACUCUGUGAUGAUUUCAUCCAACCAAUAAUUCUAUGCACGUAAGCUGCUAACUCAAUUUACAUACGAUUUGUGUUUAUAUAACUAUUUUUGACCGGCCUUACUAUUCUUCUUAGAUUUUACGGGCCAUUGUUGCUUGUGAGGAUGUUUCUUCCAUGCAUCUUCAAUUUCGGGCUGUUAGGAGUACUUUUACUUACGUAUUUUUACACGUACGUAGUAUUCUGUAAGCGUAUAAUGACAUGGCAUGCUUAUCUUUCUCGGUAGAGACUUUUUCAUCCGUAAACGAAAAUGAGACUGAAUUAUAAAUGUUGACUUCAAAUCAUCAUUUAUGAUUAUCUGUAUUUAUUAAACAAAUUAAAAAAAAAAACCGACUUUGACAACUUGAUAUGGCCUUAGAAAAAGGCCAAAAAAAACACUGUAGCUUAUUUAAUGUGUAUAAUCCCUUAUUUUUUUUAAUUUAUUUAUUAUAUUCUAAAGAUAUAAACCAAAGACUCGUUAUUGAAAUUCGAAUCUUGAGGGAGGAAAAAAAAAAAAGAAGUAAAAAAAAAAAAUUUUAAAUUACUACAACGAUACUUUUUAGUAAUUUUAAUCCCAAAAUGGUGGGCUACAGCGUGAAGCGGUAAAACGUCAAAAUGGAUUAAAAAAAAAAGUAAAUAAAAACAAAGCUAUUAUUUUAUUAAUUAAAGGGGAGAGAGAAAAAAAUAAAUAAAAGAAGACAAAAGGUGUACGUGCGGUGUGGGCAGUCCCGAGAGCAACCACGUGGCAGUUGGCAAAUGAUGGUUCAGAGGAAUACGGUUCGCCGCAUAUGAAGGGGAACGGCGGUGCUUUUACACAAUUCCAUUUUUUUCGGGUUUUAUUUUUUGGGCGCGUGGGUCCCACAUUAUUCUCUAAAUAUUUUCUUGUCUUUGGACAAUUUUUCACGGGCACUACACGAAUUUUUCAUUAAUUUUUUUAAUUAAUUGGGGUAGCGUCGUAUUUUUUUUUUCAACCCACACCACUUUUAUUCCAAUCACAUUUCCACACUUGCCCACCAAAACACUCCAAUAAAAUGAGAAAAGAGGUAAGCUUUCUCCUUUGACAACUAUUGUUCUCACCCUUCCACUCGUCCCCAUUAUGCUCUCUUUCACACCAUUUCCACCCCUUCCAACUUCUCAAAAUUUUAUAAUUCUCAUUCCCAUAUCUUCAAAAUUACAAUUUUUUUUUUAAUUUUUUAAUUUUUGCAUUUACCUUCACAAAUCUACUUAUAAUAUGGCUCGAAUCUACUUUCAAAUGUUUUACCAUAUAACUAUUGGAUAAUUUGAUAGCGGAAUAAUAGUUUCUCUCCCUCGAAUAGAAUUAGAUCUCAUCCAAAUUAAUUUUAGAUAUACGAGCUCUGUCAUAUGAAAGCCGAGGCUCUAAUAAAUAUAUAUGAAUUAAACGUCAUUUAAAUAGAAUAUGCAAAUUUUAGAGGAGAUGAUAUUCUUGAACCAAAAAGAGAAGGCUUUCCUUGUAUGCAAGAUAAUUGAAUUAGAUUCCAAGUUAGAGCACGUAUGAUGAAACUUUAUACGGACAGGAAUUGGGGGUGUGUGCGCGCGCCCUCACAGUCACAUGAAGUUGUUCACAAGCAUUGCAAAGUUUCUUAAAGCCAUAAAAAUGGUGGAUGGUCCACUCUUUUUCCGACCCUCCAUUAUGACGAUAAGGCCUAGACAAUAAUGCCCACGAGCUUGCUUACUGAUGUGCUUGACAUACCUAGCUACUGCUAUUGCCACCACCACCACCACCAUUGCUACUCGCACUUGUCUCUCUUCUAUUUUCGAUAUGUCCACAUUCUCUCUCUCACAUGAAACUCAAAUUAAUGUCAAAUAAAUAACACAACUUCGAAGAUCGCAUAUAAUGUGUAAAAGGGAUGCUUUGUAUUUUCGUGGGUUCAAACCAUGAGUUGAAUGGAUACACCAUACAUGCUGCUUUGAUUUCCAUAUUGCAGGUCAAAGGGGAUUAGAACAUCCAAUAAGGGGUCCCUAUUUCAAACAUAUCAUCUUAAGGUCAACGGACUUGAAAACGGAAAUGAAAGAAAAAGAAAAGCUCAACUCAGAUACAAAGUCAUUCGACUCAUUCCAAAGAGCUCGACCCCCAAUGACAGUUGUUUCAGAGAAAUUGAUUGGUUCUCACAUGUCAAGCAUUAGAAUCUCCAGCUUAGAAAAUUUCAUAUUCUUUCGAUUUCCAAUAGUAAGACAUAGUAGUUCAUGACUUCAUGCAUUGAUUACUAAAGUAGAUUUCACGCAUUGAUUAGCAAUAAAGUUAAAUAAAGUAAAUGGCACAAGAAGGAUAAUGAAUUACACAAAUCUUUAUAUCAUGGAAACAUUUUGUCAAUUAUACACAAGCAUUUUCAGCAUAGUAGGGAGAAUAUUGUUGGACCACUUUGAUGUUGCGGGUUAUCCCAAGUUCUGUCGAAUAGUUAAAGCCCACCAAUUGGAGUGCACAGAGUGCAUCAUAAAUUCCCAACAAUUGUUGUUGCAUGUCAUACAAAGGAUGAAAGAUGAAAGCAUUAUCAACCUUGUGAUCUCUGCAAGACCGCAUGGGAUGGCAAUUGGCAGAACUAGCUUCCCAGAUUGGCACAGCUUAUCAUUCCACUUUUAAAUGCCUACAUAUACAAAUCAUGCAAACAAGGACAAGAAAGAAAUAUAUGGCAGUGGCCAAGUUCGUGGCUAGAACUAAACUAACUCUAAGAUUGUUUGUUUCCAAUUGUUCUGUUCCAAGCAUACAAAAAGAGGAACUACAAAGAGAUAACUAACUUUAGCAAAACUGCCCAUUUCUAAUGGACUCACGAUAUACGCUUAUAAACAACUUACUCUUCCAUCUUGAUGCAAUGAGCAGAAGCUUUGAGACUGAGAAGCCAUUGAAGGAGUCAACCUUGAAAAUCCUUUUAGCUUAUCAUCACUCUCGGAUCAGACAGAUUCCUUCAAUAUCAAGAAGAAAACACCAAGAAAGAUGAAAAGGAUAUUGAAGUGCCAGAACUGAAAAAGAAUCUAAAAUGAUGAUCAACUGAAGAAACCAUAAAGCUUAACAGAGAAAUUAUGUCACAAAACUUGAAAAAUUGCAUUGGACAUAUUUAUGCGGUGAACCCAAAGUAAAAUGCAAUAGAUAAAUUGGACAUGCUUGAGGCAAAGUUGAAUGAUUAGCAGUAGCACAGCAAUAUAAAUAUUUGAUAUUCAGUUUAAUGAAGCAAUUAAGGAAAGACCAAAUCUUUUGCAGCUUAAGGUUUUCUUGCUGAACUAAAAUAAAAAUAAACUCAAUUGAGCAUGUUUAUAGCCUAACCUGUCAUCAAAUCAAACUUCUUUCUUCUGUCGUUUAGCUUUAUGUUUCGGCUCAUCUGUACCUGAACAAUGAGGAGUUUAUUGCAUAUCCUAAACUGAGAUAGAACCUCUCAUAAAAUUGCAUUGGUACUAGAAAUACUUGAUAAAAAUGAAAUCUGGUCUUUAAAUUAGCUACAAGUCAAGUAUGAAAGCAUGCUCAUGAAAUUAACCUCUUUUGGCUAACUAGAGAAACCUUCCUGAAGCAUUUCCCAUACAAUCAGCUUUUCCCCAAUUUUUAAUCUAAGUAACUCCUAUGUUUGAAGCAAGAUGUUGCAUCAUCAGACUACAAAUCAUAAAGGUCUGUAAACAAAAUCAUCAUCAUAGAAGCACCCUACUUUAUUCUCCACUGUCUCGGGUAGGUAGAUUGCUAAAGUACCAGUCAUGAAAAACAAUGUGCAGCUGGCAGGAUAUAAGUAACCAAUCUCACCUUCUUCCACCUGCUCGCACUGCUUUUCCUUUUCUUUAGAUUUGGCUGGAAGUGAAAAAUAUGGAUUAGGCCUUAAUUUGAAACAGAAGACAACUUAAAUGGUAAGUUUAUGAUCUAUUUUUAUGAAAACUUUCUAGCACAAGAAAAAUUCCACACACUACCUUGGUGUAACUAAACAAAGCCAUAUUUAUUAAAAAUUACACAAGCACAAUAAGACCAAUGUAAGCAAAUUUGUGCAUGGCAUGUGCAGACACUUGAUUAAAAAGCCAAAGAUGAAUGAAAAAUAUGAAUAUUAAGAUAUUUGGAUGGAGAUGACCAAGUUAAAUAUCUAGAAUUAAUACUCGCAACCUUUAAAGAGAGAAGAAGGUUGAUUAAGAAAAUACCAUCCGCCUCAUCCAACGGCCAUAUGUGUCUGGUCAGGGCUUUAUUCAUUUGAAACAUGUUGAUAGAAUUAACACGGAAAAGAACCUGUAAGGCCUCAUCACAUAUUAUAUUUCGCCUAUUCUUUGGAUCUUGCAAAUUCUUCUCUCGGAUAUAGGCCCAGAGUUUCUUGACAACCUACCACCAAAAGAACAAAAAGAUAACAGAGAAUAAAAGAAUACGCUUUGAAAUUAUGGUUCAAAGAUAUUCAUCAUCAAAAAGUAGACCCAAAAAAAGGGGAGAUUUUAUUUAUUUUUUUUUUUUUUGGUUGAAAUCCUAUUACAGACCUCUGUUCUGGCCAAUUCAGAUACGCCGACAAAUGUCUGAAGAUCCGGAGAAAGACUACACAGUUUGGUAAAGCCACCUCUCCUUUUCUUGACAUCUUUAUCCGCCUUAGUUGAUCUAGUCGAAAAGUUGGUUUAGUUUAGUUUAUAGACAAAUGAGUCAUGGACUGUAGUAACAUCCGCUACGGGAGAUUCUCCAUUAUAUAUAUAAAUUUGAUUUCCAAUGCUAAUAUACGAAUGCAUUCCAAUAUCCUCUGAUAUAACUAACAGACUGUGAUAAAUCAAAAAGAAUUGCAAAAAUCAUCAACUCCAACAAUAAAAAGCAAGGAAACUGAGAUGUGAUUCUGCAGAACUUAACCCAUAUCCAUAUGAGAAACAAAAUAACCAACAAAAAGGAGUAACCAAAUAACUACUUCAAACAGAAAUCUUUGUUAUUCUAAAAGUUGAAUAGGUGAAAAAUAGGUGCAUUUGUACGCAAUAUCCCAAAAUGCUAUCAAUUUCAGAUUGGAAGCCAAAAAAUACAUAUAAAUGAAGUUUGCAACAUAUUCCUUCCCCUCGCAGGGCUUAUGCUCAGAUGUACUCAACCCCAUUCCACCCUUUAACCUUUGAAUUUUGUCAUGGCAUCAAAGAAAACUUAAUUUCCACAGGUAUCCUUGAGCAUUAUUUAAUUUAAGAGCUGAAAUCUAAUUAGUGAAAACCAAUCCAACAGAAAAUGCCUCAUAAACACCAUUAUCAACAUAAGAGGAUAAAAAAGCCAAUAUAAUUUUUAGAGACAGCUAACAAUGAGUAGUUAUCAUAAAUUUAUUGAAAUCCUCUCAAAUUCAGACGAUAAAUUGUCAUUACAGUAGUGAUUCCUGAAGGGAAAAAAAUAAUGCAGAUGUUAGACCAAAAAUUUGAGUUAAUAUAAAUUUGCAAGCAUAAUACUACUAUAAUUAAAAGUUCCGGAUAUAAGGCCUUGAAUGUUCUUCAAGUAUAUGUUCUAUCAGAUGUGAAAUUAUUGGAGGAAAAAAGAAGAAAGACAGAACUAAGAAAAAAAGAUAAAAGAAUCAACACAAACACAAGGCGGCAAGAAGAACUCACCUAUUUUCCUUGCUUUGCUGUUCAAUACUCGUUUCCUCUUCUUCCUCUUCCUCUUCGUGUUCCUGUUCCUGUUCCUGUUCCUUUUCUUCUUCUUCCUCCGAAUUCUUGAAAUCUUCAACUCCUAUCUUCUGCUUUACAUUUUCUGAUUUUUCAUCCAUAAGUCGGCACUAUUAUUUCAACCAAAUAACUGAACCAUACAAAUUUAGGAUGAUACUCUAAAGGUAAAUACCGCUAAUGAAAUAAAGCCGAAGUACAACGUGAUCCAGUUUGUUUUGAGGAAGUCGAAGUAGCCGUGAUUGCAGAAAAAUCUAAACAUGCUACGGUAAUCAAAAUACUGGAAAAUUUGAUAAGAUCAUAACAAAAAUGAGUGUUAUACUGCAUCUCUAAAAAUUUGAGAAACAACCCAACAAGGAAAAUCAUACUAAGAACCACAUGCUAAAUAAUAACAAACUAAUUCUUUGCAUACUUGAGAAAAGCAAUAGUGUAGACUAGUCACCGACAUGCAACCACUUUUCUUCUGCCAAGUGCAAAUAGUUGCCUACAGAAUCUCAACACCAAUUGCAUUUCAUUUUGUAAAAUAAAAAUGUUUAACUAAACAAAGUUCUAUCUUUUGGCAAGACUAAAUCAUAUUUAAUCUUUAUUACGUGAUAUUUUUAUUCUUGCUAAAAGAUGUUUUAUAUGAACAAAUCUUUAAUCUUUUACCCCAAAUUAAAAAAAGAAAAAUUAAAAAUACAAAUGAAUUUAUUACGAUAAGAACAUUGGUAUCCAUUUCUUUCCAAUUAUUCCCUCUACACUCCAUAAGUAACAUUAACCACAAAUGUCAAAGUCAAGUUCAAAGAAAGUACCAUCUUCUGCACCGAGAGGCCAAAUGUGCUUUGACAGGGCCCUAUUCAUUUUGAACAUAUCAAUAGAGUUGACACCGAAGAGAGCUUGCAAUGACUCGUCACAUAAUAUUUUUCGCUUAUUAUUUGGAUCCUGCAAUUUAUUUUCUUUGAUAUAUACCCACAAUUUCUUCACAACCUGGAGCCAUAGAAUUGGAUAAAACAGAAGUUAAAAUUUUCAAUUCGAACUUUUAUCUGUAAUCAGCACAAAAUAACAAAUAUAUUGGAUGUACCUCGGUUCUUGCCAAUUCAGGGGCUCCAACAACUUUUUGAAGUUGUGUAGAAAGACUACAUAAUUUGUUAAAGCCACCACCUCCUCUCCUCUUGACUUGUCUACCGACUUUGAUUGACCUAAUGGACAAAUUAAAUAGAGUAACGCCCACAUGUACAAAUUGGCACACCCAUCUCUUUUAUAACUAAUUUUAUUUAUUUUUAUUUUCACCUAUUCGCUGCUUUCUUUUUCAUUUGUCAGUAAUAAAGUAAUAAAAGGUUCCAUCAUUUUUAACAAAGAAGCAGAAAAAAAUAAAAAAGAUCUUUUUUUUUUUUUUAGUUUUUCAUAAAUAAAGUAAAAAGAACAAACAGAAAGAAAAAAAAAAGCUUACUUUUCUCUUUUGCUUUCACUUUCUUCUUCUUCUUCUUCCUUAUCAUCUGCAUUUGCUUCAACGGCGCCGUUUCCAUCAUCCUCAAUUUCUUCUCGUUCUUUCUCUAGGGUUUGUAGAAAUAGGUCAAUUUGUUCGCUGACAAAAGCCUUUCGGUCCGAUAAGUCCACCUUAAAAUCUUCCUCUAGUAGCCUCCGUACACUGCCGGCGGUGGCCGUGUCCAGGUCCGAGUUCCGGAGGAUGUCUCGAAGCCGGGUCACAAGGUCCGAGUCCGACACCAUUUUCGGGUUUCCGCUUUCUCGAUAUUUCCCGGGCUACAGGGAAAAGCCUCAGUUGAGGUGGCCGCGAAAUUUGGGGGGGGAUAUUGUGUGAGGGUAUUUAUGGAAUUAGGACAGUGGCAGGUGGUUACAAUCGUUUUUAGCUCAAGGACUCUCUCAACUCUUUUCAUGUGAAUAUUACAUUAUCAAUAACAAACUAUUUAAUCUUCUAAUUAAGUUUUUUUUUUUAAAAAAAAAAUCAGUAAUAUUCAUCUUUUCUGUGGUGCCUCUUUAUUUUUAAUUAAAAUCAACUAAAUUUCAACGUCACAUCAAUAAAUUUUAUUAAAUAUUUUAGUACUGUUAAUUUAAUUGACCCUUUUUUUUUUUUCAAAAUCAAAAUGCUGCUCGUCGAUUUCUAAUUAUCCUCCUAAUAAUCGUCGAUUAAUUAAUGUAUGCAAUUAAACUUACAUUAACUAGUCGUUGAUGCUUCAAAAGAAAAGGAAGAAUUAUGACCCAAAAGGAAAGCUCCAAAUUCUUGCGAAUAUAAGUAAUAAUCAAUAAUGUGGGUAGAUGGUUAUAUGUAAUACCAAUCCAUAGCAGUCAAGUGGGAUUGAUUCAUUAAUUACUCAUUAUAAGAUUCACCUGCAAAUUUUGAUGGAAGCCCAAUUGCACCAUUGCUGUAAGGAAAACCAGAUAAACAUUUUUAACAGAGAGAAAAAUUCUAAUAUUCAGCAUCAUUCAAGUAUUCUAUUCGCAAGUUAGUAGAACAGUUGAACAUAAAACAAAACAAGGAAAAGACUUCGGAUAGAGCGAUGAAAUUCAAAAAGUUUUCUCUGCUUGCUUCUAUCUCGGAGGUUAAAAAGAAACAGGAAAUUAGUAUACUUUGAGUUGAGUUCACAGGAAAAAUACCCUUUUCACCCUAGAAUUUCAUAUAAUAAUUUAUUUCAUCAUACUUUUUGAACAAUAGUCUAAAAUAAGACUUUUUUUGGGAGCCUCUAAGUUACAAUAAUUAUAACAUACAUUCCUCAUGUGAACCACACAAAAUUGUAGGACCCACAAUUUGUGUGGUUCACAUGAGGGAUGUAUGUUACAAUUAUUGUAACUUAGCAUUUGCCUUUUUUGACCAUAGGGUUUCAUGCAAUAAUCUAUUUCAUCAUACUUUUUGAACAAUAACCCAAACCAUCCUUAUGUUAAUUUAUUGUUAUUUUAAUACUAUUUGUUAGCAAUUCAUUUAGGGUAGGUAAAAUAAGACUUUUAAUUAAAGAGAAAAUUAAAAAAAUAAAUGAAAGCUAACACAUAACUAAAAAUGAUUUUUCUAGACAAGCAAUCCCGAAAAGGAUGAAAACUUAUAUAUUUUAAGCAAUUGUUUUGCAUUUUUUUUUCUAUUUUGGUACCCUUGGCUCUUCAUUUUAACACCAUAAAAGUCUUGUAAACCAUAGAUUUAAGUACAAAAAAUAAUCACAAUUUUCAUAUUCAUAUAAUUAUAUUCUCUAAUUACACUUUCAACCAACUUGGGGAGACAGUAAUGGUUAAAGAAGAGUGGUGGUAAAGCUCAAAAAUUUCAGAAGCAAGCUAAGUUAAUAUUGUUGUGGUCUGUUUCUCAACUAAUCGUUCUUUUAUUUCAAAUAACGAAGUUUUGAAGAAAUUUUAAUGGCUUUUUUCAUAAGUUAUUGUAACAUGGGUUGAAUUAAUUCCUUUUGCUUUUAUACUAAGUAGCGGAUAUAUAUAUAUAUAUAUAUAUUGGCUUGAUACUGAGUAAUGAUAAUGUGGAUGUGUGUAAAAGGGCAUGUUUAUAUUAUUAUUAUGGGAUGGUAAUUGUGUUUGUUGAUAUUGAAGUUUUCCUAUAAAAUUAAAAUAAUUGCAAUGAUAGGAAAUGUUUGAUUUAGACAACAAACAUUCACUUAUAUAUAUAUAUAUUAGUUAUGCUUGUGUUUACUAUGGCAGAAAGGAUGCACGAUGCGGCUGUUGUUGGAUAUGAGUUUUUGUGAUGUGAAAAUAAAUUGCCGGUACAGAUUAUAUAACAACAAUCUACCCGUCGUAGAUUACUUUUUUGUGUACUGACUAGUGUACUAGCCAUGUGGCAUAGGAGGUGUAUUCGGUACUCAAAAUCUCAAAUCUCAUGAAAUGGUUUGAGUUGAGAUGAAAAUUAAGAAGAUAUUCAACACAAUCCAAGCACAUAAAAUUUGGUGGUAUUUUUGAGUUUUUCUUCUAAUGAUUUAAAGACAUUGUGUUAAUUAUAGGUUAUUACUUAUGUCAAUUAUUCAGUGGCUAUCACAAACUAUAUCAUCGUUGACUUCAUUAAAAAGAAUUAAUAGCAUAUAUUGUAGUGCUAUUUAAUUGUGUACAUUUUUUAUUUUAAAACAGUUUAUAUCAUUUUAAUUGAAAAUCUUAUUUUGUCCUCAAUAAAUUAUUAGCAAACAACAUUAAACUAAUGGUGAAUUAGUCGAAUGAUGACUUAAGUUAUUGUUUAAAAAGUAUGAAUGAAAUAUACUAAUGCAUGAAACCUUAGGGGUUUUGCCCUUGUUUAUAUUAUGGGAGAGCCAAUUUUCCUCUUACUGUAAUCAAUAAAUAUCAUAUGCCCCCUACUGUUUUUAUAAUGACCAAUAAUCCCUUGACAUUAUAAGUUUACAGUAUUACCUUUAUUUUCAAAUACCCUUUUAUUCAUAUUUAUUAUAAAUAAAAUAAAUCACAUGAAUGAAAAUUAAAAUAAAAAAAAAUUAAGUAUUAAAAAUAAAAAAAUGUAUGUUUUGAUGUGAAAAAAUUAAUAAUAAAAGUAUUUUCUUGUACUUUUUUAUUUUAUAAACAUUUUCUUAUAAUAAAUAUAUAAGAAAAUUAUUAUAAAAUGAUAAAAAAAUUAUUAUAAGAAAACUUGAAUGAUAAAUAAAUUAUUAUUAUAAAAUAAAUAAUAAAAUAUUUUUCUUGUACUUUUUACAUUUAAUUUUAAAAUCUUAUAAAAUAUUUAUUAAAAGAAAAUAUUUACAAAAUAAAAAAGCACAAGAAAAAAAUUUUAUCAUUAAUUUUUUUGUUCACAUCAAAACAUAUAUUUCUUAUUUUUAAUACUUAAUUUUUUUUAUUUAGUUUCUAUUUAUAUGAUUUAUUUAAUUUAUAAUAAAUAUAAAUAAAAAUGUAUUUGAAAAUAUGAGUAAUAUUAUAAACUUAUGUUGUUAAUGGUUAUUGGCUAUUAUAAAACCAGUAGGAGGUAAAUGGUAUGUAUUGAUUAUAGUAAGGGGAAAAUUGGCAAUCUCCCUUUAAAUUAUUAUUGUCUAUAAUAGGAAUUUCAGUAAUGGGUAAUUUAGUAAUAGAAUUUUUUUAUGAAAAAAUGAGAGUGAAAAAUGUUUUAGUGGGUUCAAAUAUUAGCACCCUGUUCAAAUAUUCUCACUAGGGUUCUAAUAUUUUCACUCUUAUUUUUUUUUUUGUAGUAGCACACAAAUUAUAGGUACACCCCAAGUGAGGAUUUUUAGACCCAUCAAAAUAUUUUUUUUUAAACCUACUUGUUUAUAAAAUUUUAUAUUAAAAAAAAACUCAUAAAGUGAAUUGCCACUUACCAUAAUCUAUAUUCCUAUUUCUCUUCAAAAUCAAAAUUGAAUGUUUGUGCGAAACUAACAUGAUUAAUAUUCAACAUUCGAAUCGAUUAUUUAUUUCAUCACCAUAUUCUCAAUGAAUUUUUGUUCUAACAAUAAAAAUAUACAAUAAGUAUCCAUAUUAAUACCUAAAUCGUUUUAAGUUUCAAUAAGAGUUAAUUUCUUCCAUAAUAGUUUAUUUUAAUAUAAUAUGAUGAACUCAUCAAAUUCACGUAAACACAAGAGAGAAAGAGAGAUUAAAAUGUAGGCAAAUGCUAUGUUACAAUUAAUGUAACAUAGGGGCUCCCUUAAAAUGUAAUGGAAAUUGUCAUAGAAACUAGAGUUUCUUAAAUUUAGGGGCAACCAAAAUGCAGAUGAUUCGAAUGAAUUAAUGGUGAUUUCUAAGAGAUUGUUUUUUUUUUCUUAUAGUCUCAAUUUGGAUAUGAAUAAUGCUGCCUUAGCCGUUUAUAGAUGUUGAGAAAUGAACAUUGAUGUUGUGAAAUUGCAUUUUUUAACGAGCAUUUAAAAUUGAAAAAUAAAAGAUAGUUGAACUAAUUAAAACGAAGGAGAAGAUGCGGAUACUUUUGGUACUUAGGGAGGUUUGAAGAGUGAAAUCUUUAUUUUUAAAUUUUAGUGAUGUGUUUAUUAACAAAGUGGGUGUGAAAAAGAAUUUUUUUGGUUUAAAGCCCCCGCCCUUACACUCCAUUCCACCCAACCCUUGAAAACAUAAUAUUUUGUAAAUAGACCACACUGAAUGACAUUAUUACCCUUGCAGGCAAUUGGAUUUCCCAUUUUCCACACUUCCUUCCCCAGGAUACAUGCCAAACUUUUUUAAUUUUUCUUUAGGUAGCAGUAAAACCUUAUAUCUGAUCAUCUGCAUUCUAUAGGUUACAGUUGAAGGGUGAGUCAGAAGCACAAUGAACUUACACAAUGCCUACGGCUACAAUGGUGCAUCUCUUGCUUGGUAGCUCAAGGAAUUUUCAAGGGCAUCAAAAUGGACAUAUAUAAACUAGUGUACCAGUAUUGCUAUGAAUCAUUUGGUGUAAAAGAGAAACAUCUCCAGGUUUAAUGACAUUGCAGCAUCUUAUUGCACAUACAGUAGUUUUUGACUCAAAAAUGCAUUUUAGUUUUUCCCAAUUUAGCGAGAACACACAGCGUGGGAGAACCUGUGUAUGCAUAAUCGACAACACAGAUAAUAAUAAAUUAAUAGAUAAAUAAAUUUUAAAUGAUAAAAUCUUAAACAUUUUCUUCCCUAAUAAAACAAUAUUAUUUGUCAUUCACCAAAACCUGCCCGGCACCACUAUAUAAAACAGACUGAAGUUGCAUAGUCAUCCUAAAUUUUCUAUUUACUCUCUUUCUCUCUCCCCCUCAAACUGUUGUUUCCAUACAAGUACAAUAUAAUGAAAUGAAGUGAAUGUGUUUGUGUUUGUGUUUGUUUUUCUUGAUGGGUGUCUUGAAAAAGAUUUGUCUAACAUUUUGGUCCUACAUGCAUAACAAAUGUGCCAUUAAUCCCAAAGCAAUAACAGGUCAUGCAUACAGCUUUAACGUCAAAAUCAAAGUAAGGCUACUAAAUAUACCAAAGUCAACCCACAUUAAAAGUUUCAGCUAUCAAUAAAAUAAUAAAAUAAUGGGAUCUUUCCUACUAUAACCCCAAAAUAUAAUUAAAAAAAUUGCCCUAAAUUGAGAUUAAAGCAUGUGGUCAUACAUGCAAAUGUCUCCUGCAUUUCACAAUAAGUAUUUAUAGUCUGAAAAGAACAAUUAUAACUUCACGCACUGGGGAAUGGUGGAGAAAGAAAUGUAUUUGAUUUCUAAAGAAGAACCCCGGAUGAUUUGCAGAGAAAAAAGAGACAGAAGAGAAUAGCAUAACAGGUGCAAAUUUCCCUCCAGAUAUAUUAUAUAAUAUCAUCUAACCAUGGUUUAUAUGCCAUAGUUCCGAGAUAACUGUGGCUUAUCUAAAGUUAAUACGAUAAGGAGUGUGUGGCCUCUAAUAACAAUUUAAUGGACAACGUCAGUCAAUGACCUAUGCAUGAAAACUUGAACAAGAAGGACUGCAGUGCCAAAAUUUCCAAACCUCAGGUUUUUUCUUUUUUUAAUUUCAAAUAAAACAGCAAGGACUGCAGAGUGUGUAUUACAGCAAUCUUGGCAAGACAUCCACCAAUAAAAAUCCAACACAAGGGCUAAAGCACUCAACAACAAUGCAAAGUGGAAACUGAAGCCCCAUAAUACAGCAAUAAGCAAACGCAAAUCAAUGUAACUCUCAUUGUUACUGUUACCACUACAUGUAAUAACUAAACAACAAAGAUUAAUGCUAUUGUUAAGACAGAAUCACAAUACAUAAUUCACAUAUGUUGAGCCAAUAGUAUGGAGAUUCUUCAUUCACUAAUUUGAAUAAAUAAUAAAUAAACUUUGGAAGCUGUUUCAAAUGUACAACUAAGCUGGCCAGAUAUUGGAUAAAAAAAUACCUGAAUCUCAUGAAGAUAGUUCAAAAGCACUACGAAUUGUCAUCAAUCAUCAUCACUGUAAUCAGAAGCUUUUUCAUCAGAAUCUGACCCACAAUCAAAGUUGAUAUUUUGAGUAUCUAAUUUUCUAUACUCAGAACCUUCAUUAAGAAGAUCUUCUUUCAACUCAUCCAGAACAUAAGGUUCUAUCAGUUUCCAGAACAAUGUAGAAUUGCUUCCAAGAAAACCUAUCCAAAACACUCUCCCCUUCUUCUUUACCCUACAAUCAAGAGAUCUUGCUUUUAAUGUUUUGAAAACCAAUGCAAUACCCUCACUGCUCACCUUUAGCUUUAAUAGGAUAUCCCCAACUGAUGUUCUAUGCCCCCCAUACAUGAACCAGUAUGCCAGAGCUCGUGGUGUCAGCCAUCGAUGGAUUAGCUUUGGAAUCACAAGCCGUCCUUUUGGCCAAAACUUGUCAGCAUAAAAGCAAAAAUAAGGGUGCGAGAUGGUAGAAUACUUGUAUGGUAUAUCAUCAUUACCGUCACUCACCUUAAAAGAAGGAUGUAACCACUCAUGAUACUGGUCAUAUAAAUAUCUCCUCAAAACUGAAUGCAUUCUAGAAUUCUCAUUGAAUUCAAACCGGAUCAUGUGCCUCUUCCUCUUUUCAUCUGAUUCAAUACACAGACCACCUAACAGUAAACCUAUUAAAUUCUCUCGCUGUUCUGAGCUUAAAUUCAGACUCACUGGUUUCUUGACCUCUUUUCUGUUCAAGCUCAAGACGUAAUCAAGUUUUUCCAUCCAUGCAGACUCUAUUUCAUAUUUCUUCAGACACAUCAAAUGAUAUAUCUUUUCUGCCUUGAUAAAAUCUCCAGAAGAGAGGUAUGCACUUAAAAUGAUGUUGCACGAUCGAGUGUUAACACCAAUUGUCUGGUCACUGUGCAUAUGGUUAAAAAUCUCCUCAGCUUUCUCAAUAUUCCCAGCAUUUUUCAAAGAUUCCAAAUAAAUGCCAUAAAUAGUACGAUUGGGUCGACAUUUCUCAAGGCACUCAGAGAAAGCCAAAUGCAACCUAUCGUGCAUGCCCAAAUUGAGGUACAUGUUUGUCAGAUUAAUAUAAGAAGGCAUUAGUGGCUUCAUACCAGUCUCUACAAACUCUUUCAUUAGGGAUUCUGCAAGCUCCGUCUCCUCAGCUUUACACAACAACUCUAUGAUCUUAUGAUAUGCUGGUACACUAGCAGAACCCAAACGCUCUUGCAUCUCCCUAAAUAUUUCCAAAGACUUCAUAAAUUCUCCAAUCUUGGCAUAAGCUUCCAUUUUAUAAACAAAAGCGGGAGUGGGGAUGCCGUUGUCGGAUUCAAGUAGUCUGAGCCAAGUUUUUUCUGCUUCCUCCACGUCCCCCUCCUUCGCACAAACUCUCAAGACAGACAAAAGCACUUCUUUGCCCUCCUCAAAUCCUGCUUGUUGCAUCUCUUUCUUUAGCAAUGAUAUCCUUUCUUUAUCAAUGUUGUCUUGAUAGCUAUGAAGCCAAAUUAAACCACUGUAAAUAUCCUUUUGUAUUUCAAGUCCAGAUGUCAACAAAUUGUGAAAAAUAAACUCCGCUUGUUGGAGGUAAUAUUUUGACAAACCUCCAGGUUUGCUCACCAGAGCUCUGAAGAGAGAAUUAUGCAAGCUAGGACGGGGUUGGUAACCUCCCAGUUGUAUCAUACGAUUGUAAAUACUACAUGCUUCAUCCAAGCACCCUUGAACUGGUGCACUGAGAUACGCAACAAUCAAAAUGUGAAAUGUCAUUUCACUAGGCACACGUCCCUGAUUAAUUAUGUCAUCAAAUAUCUCCCGACAUUUGGCAAACUUUCGCUCCUUACCCAUGUAAUCUGCCAACUUGGUAGCAAGAGCAAAAUCAAAUCGAUACCAAUGUUGUUGCAUCAUCCAUUUGUAAACCUGAAACACGUAACAAAUGAUUUUUCAAUGACAAUACUUUGGCUAAAAGAAAAAAAAAAAAAAGACAACUUGUUAACAGAAAGACAAGAAUCUUCAAAUCAUUGAGUUCAAGACAAUAAUAUGCAAAACACAUUAAGACACCACAUUUCCUGGGACGGACAUAAGUAACAAAGUGAACUGUUAGCAAACAAAUUAUUUCGAUGUUUCAGUAAUAAAUAUUCGUGCAAAUAGCAAUUAUUUCAAAGCAGAUUGUGGAUAUCUAGUGAUAUAAAUAACAUGAAACAGCAAUCUGCGUUCAGAAAUUAUGCCCAGCAUUCACGACCUGAACAGCCUUUCCAGUUUUAAACUCCCAUGAACUGAAAUCAACUUAAGAACUGUAAAGCAAAAGUCCAAUCCUCAACAAAAGAACUCAAUAAAGAACCCAGCAUGCUAUAACAGAAAAAUCUAAAAUUCUUAUAUGACACCUAAUUUUAUAUAAACCAGUUCACUAUAAAACAAAUAGCAAAUCCAACUGCUACCAGAAAUUGCUAAUAUUUAUUCACUAAUUCACAUUGAUAGAGCACGAACAUAACACCUGCUAGCUCAUAUUAUCAAAUAAACCAUCCACAUUAAAUACCUUCCUGAACAUUCAACACAAUUCAACUUCAAGUAAUCAUUCAAAAAGCAAAGAAAUUUUAUAACAAACAGAGGACAAGUGUUAACUGCAAGUUGCAACAAUAACAUCAUAAAGAAUAAUGAAAUUAUACCCUGAAUCCAGUCUCAUUCUCGCGAAUCCGCAUACAAUGAACUGCCAAAUACGUACCAUCCUCCUGCCUCAACCACUUCUUCUGCGCAUUCAAAAUCCUCACAAGCGUCCCCCCUUUAUGCGACGGCAAUUCUUUACAAAGCCAGGCAAGCUUAGCCCUCCGCCACUGCUCGGGCAGCUCCUCAAGCUCUAUAACCUCCACAACCGGCUCACCCAAGUGCCUCAUUUCACUUCCCGCAGUCCCAACAUCAAAAUCAACAGACCCACUUUCGGCAUCACUGUUUUUAAACAUGUCCCAUUUCUCUUCUUGGGAAGAAUCUUUCUCGCCCGCCAACUGUUCGACGAAAGUACUCUGUGAAGUGGCGGACGAAAGCGGAGCGGAUAAGAAGUGGUAGGACCUCGGUGUUCUUACGGUAGUGACGUGGGGGAAGAAGCUGACGUGGCGCUGGAGGGAGAGGGUGAUUGAAGGAAGUGUUUGGGUUGAGAUUGUGAGCAUGUUUCAGUGUACUUUUGGGCAUAUACGAUGGCCGUUACCCGUCGGCUGUUAUGCUUAUUGCGAUUCGCACAGACAACAACAGAGAUUAAUGUCUAAAUUUUAUAUCCCAGUUUAACCCGUAUUUUUCUCUUUCGGUUCUUCCUUAGAUGUGGACGCUUUUAUGCCAUAUCCAACCACUAAUUUGUUGACACCUUGCACCCAAAUUUCAUAGAAUUAUUGGGAUGACUUAAAAUAUUAAAUUUUAUAAUUAAAUAAAUGUGAAACUGAAAGAUAUAAAAAUCGUUUUCAGUAGAUGUGAAUGCCGAUCAACAUUACUAAAAUUUUAUAUUAAAUUUUUAAGAGUGAUGAUAUAGUUAUAAACUCUUAUAUAAAUUUAUUUUAUAUAAAUUGAUUUAGUAUUAAUUUAUUAAUUAAAUAAAAAUAUAAAAUAAUAAAAAUAGAUCAUGUGGAUUAAUAAAUAUUUAAUUCAAUCAAUUUUAUCAUACCACAUCAAUUUAUAUAAAAUAAAUUUAUAUAAGAGUUUGUAACUAUAUUAUUACUAAAUUUUUAAUGGGUGAGUAAAUAUAUCUUUUUAUAACUGUGAUGUAUAACCCCUUAUUUUAUUUUUCCAACCCCUACUAUCACUUUCAUGUUAAUACUCAUUCUUAUUCUUAUAUACAAUUACUUAAAAUUAAAGAUAAUUAACUUUGAAAUACACCCACAUACUAAUCUAAUUUUACAUGCCUAAUUUCUUUUAAAUGCUCAAACAGUUAUCUGAUUAUUAUUAUUAGUAGUAGUACUACUGCCCCUGCUGCUGCUACUGCCCCAGCCACUGCCACUGCCACUGCCACUGCCACUGCUAUAAUCAUGGAAGAAAAUAUUUUAUAGAGGUUAUUUAGCAGUGGGUGAUCCAAUUAAUGGCGCUUUCUUUUCACAUCAUGGGUUAUGGACCUUAUGGUGGUGGGUGUGGAUGGACAGUGAAAAAACGAUGCCAUAAAGAUGUACAAUUUCAUACUACCAUAAAGAUGCUAGACACUCUGAUAAGAUUUGUAUUCAAGUUUUUUUUUGUUUUUUUAAUAUUUCAGUCGAAUAGAGUCAUUAAAAUUUAAUAUUCUAUUCAAAUAUUAAGAACAAUGUACAAUUUCAUACUACAAUAUUAACCAAAUUGAACAACUUUGAUGUUUCAAAGCAAAGAAUUUUACUAACCAACUGGGCCUUGGCCUAGUGGCCAGGACUCUGCAUUUACAAUUGUGAGCGCAACGGUUCGAGCCCCCGCGACGCAUGUAGGGAUUUAUUUUCUUCUUUAAUCAUUAAGUGAAGACAGUCUUUCCCCUUUCGAAAUGUGAGUGGAGUAGACACCUCUUGAAUAUUAGAGAGGGUAAAAUAUGGACAGUGCUAUACACCCCUCGAAUAUUAGAGAGGAUAAAAUCUGGGCAGUGCUAUAUAAAAAUUAAUGUAAAUUAGACCCAGUAAUUGUCUGAUUAUAAAUAUCAGUUGUAAAUAUCAUAUAAUAUGAGUUGUAAUCUAAGCAUUAGUCUCAUGUAAUUAAAAAAAAAAAAAGCAAAGAAUUUUACUCAUUCAGUAAAAAGAACAAGCACUUGAAAGAUUGUUAACAACUAUGUCCCAAAAUUCAUAAAUUGUAAGUUUUGUAAACACCACCCCAUGCCACGAGAAAGAAGGUGAUGGAGAUCUAGCAUGUUUUACAGGAAAUUAAAACAAUUGAAAUAGACGGCAAGUGUUUAUCAAGUGCUUGUAACAUGGAACCCAUGGCUACUAUGGUGUGAAAAAAAAUAAUAAUAAUGGUUACACCUACACUGAUAUUGAUUUCAAAGGAAAUUAGCACAUCCUCAUGAUCAAAUUCUUAGCGGGAGUCAUCAAAUUUAUAAUAUUUUAUAAACGAAAUCUUUUUUUAUACCUGCCAGCAAUGGACAAACCUUAAUAUUAAGGAAGAUAAAGACUAUAAGAUAUUUUUGGUAAUAUUUUUUUUAAGGGUAUGGUGUAUGAAAAAAAAAAAAAGAUACGAUGAGAGAUAGAAAUUAUUUUAAAAUUUUCAGUGGGAUUAACUAAUGAGUGGGGGAUGAUGAGUAAAAAACUACUGAUAGUCAAAUAUCAUCAUUCUUUUAAUAAAUUUUCAUAAAAAAAGAAUUAAUUAUGUCAUAUCACCAUUCACAAUACGAAAACAUGAUAUUUGAUGUAAGAUAAAAUUUUGAGAUGGCCAUGGACUCUUAUAUAUAUCAAGUGUUAAACAUUAAAAAUAAUUUUCCAAAAUUCAAAACAAAAAUGCCGGUAAAACCUAAAUGAAUUAAUUGACAAUGCAUAGUUGUCGUCCAUUGACUAAUUAUUAUUACAAGCAAGCAAAGCCUUGGGUUCUAGCAAAACAAGAACCUGAAAACAACCCCAUAGUAUUAUACUAUUUUAGUCUAAUUCAAAGAAAAUUACACCUACACUGAUAUUGAUUUUAAAGAAAAUUAGCACGCCCUCACCAUCAAAUUCGUAGUGGGAGUCAUCAAUUUUAUAAUAUUUUAUCAACGAAAUCUUUUUUUUUUUUUUUUUGUAGCUGCCAACAUUGGAUAACCCUUAAUAAGGAAGAUAAAAAUUAAGAUAUUGUUAAUAAUAAUUUUUUAGGUUUUUUUUUUUUUUUUUGUGGUAAGAACUAAGAUGUAUGGAAAAAGGAUAAAAGCUAUAAAAAGAGUAAAGCAUAGACUAGAUGAGUAUGAUGAGAGAUAAAACUUAUUUCAAAAUUUUCAGUGAGGUUAACUAAUAUGUGGAUAUGUAUAAUUCAAAACAAAAAAGCCGGUAAAUCCUAAAUGAAUCUCGUCCAUUGACUAAUUAUUAUUACAAGCAAGCAAAGCCUUGGAUUCUAGCAAAACAAGAAUCUGAAAACAACCCCAUACUAUUAGACUCAUAUUAGUCUUUUUCAAGAAUCUGAAAUUCAAGGCUUAUCCUGGUGAUUGAAGAAAGAAGCAAUUUGCUCGAGCAUAACCCUAGCAUUUUCGGAAUUCGGAUUGAACAAAUGGAACACAUGCGAUUCUCCUUUAGUCUCAACAAUCUCCACGCGGCCUUUCCACCCACUCUCCUUCAACUUCUCGUAGUAAAGCCAUCCCCUGGCAGCCAGCUUAUCCUUCUCCGCAACGAACACCAGCACCCUGGCGCACCCCAUGCUCGCCAGGCUCGAACCCUCCACGCACGGGUUAAUCCACGGAUCAUCGCACCCGUUGGUUUCACUACGAUAACCCAUCCGCCAAAUCUCAUCGAAAAACGCUCUGUCCUUCGCAUCAGUCGUCUCAUUGCCAACCGGCGUGCUCCCCCAGAAGUACGGAUGCACCAAAACAAUCCCAGCGACGUUAAACCCGUCGAGAAUUUCACGACCGUUUCUGAUCCCCAUGUGGUGGGCUAUGUUAGCGCCGGCACUGUCCCCAGCGAAGAACACCCGCUGAAAGUCAGCGUAGCGGUUAAGCCAAUCUUCGGGGCCGCUUCCGUUAACAUGGGAGGCAACCCAUUUGAUUGCAGCCCACGAGUCAUCGUGAGCGCAAGGGACGGGAUUCUCCGGGGCUCUCCGGUAGUCAACCGAGACGGCGACGACGUUACAUGCGGAGACUAAGGCGUUGAGGUAGCUGUGGUAAAAAGGGGAGAAGGGAGUCUCGAUGCAGAAGCCUCCGCCGUGGAUGUAAACAAGAAGGGGGAGUUUGUUAUUGUUAUUAUUGUUAUUCGUGCCUUUCGGGAGGUAAAGCCGAGCGGAUAGAGCAUUGCUGUUGUUGCUAUUUUGAGGAGAAUACACAACGUCUUUGGAAUCAACGUUCGUUUUGGGAUCAAAUGAUGGGGGAACGGUAUCAUUGCCCACGAACCUCUCUACUCUGCCGUCUUUGUAUACUCUUAUCAAAGGAGAGAACUCAUAGGCGAUUUCUGAUGAUGGCUUGGUAGAAUCCAUCGAAGGCGCAGACGGAGACAGGGGAGCAGAAAGGGCUCUUUAAAUAGAGGGGACGACCAAUAUGCCCACCCAGGUUUUGCGAGCUGAGUCGAUAUUUUUACUAUUUUUUAGGAGGGUAAAAUUAGUAGUUCUUAAAUAGGAACAUAAAAUUAAUUAAAUUUUCACACUAUUGUAUAUAUAAGAUUAUGAAGAAUUAAGUGUAAGCGAAUUCAACGCAGGAUCCAAAAUCAAAUGGAGAAAGACAUGCAUACGUUGGGACAGGUCUGAUGGGUCCCAUGAUCCACGACUUUUUUUCUUUUUAAAAUAAAUGUGCGAACGUUAAAAUGGUGGUAUACCGUAUACUGCCGUCUGCAGACUUUUCUGCCGGCUUUGGCAAAAAAAAAAAAAAAACGAAUUUUAAUAAUAGUCGUAAGUGUUUGACUGAAAUAAAAAUUAUUUAAAUGUUUAUAAAUAUAUAUGUAAAAUAUUUUUUUAUUAUGUAUGUAUAAUAAUUAAAAAUUAUAAUAAAUAAUUUUUAUAUUAUUGAUUCUAUAUUUUUAUCUUAUCAUUUCAAUAUGAUUUGCAAUAAUAACAAUCUCUUUAAAUUUAAUGAUUUUAUUUUAUAACUAAAUAAGGAUAUUUUUAAAUUUUUAUAAUAUAUGUGAGAAUAGAUACGAAAUUGUAUUAAGUAAACAUUGAUUCUUAAAAUCAUAUUUUGAAAAAUUAUUCUUUCUCUACUUUUUAAAAUUUGUUGUGGGACUGGAGUACUUUUGUCAUAAUAAUUUUUCAAAAAAAAAAAAUUCAAACACAAAAAUUAACUUUUAGUUUUUUAAAAUCAUCUUUGAACUUUUUAAAAGUAAUCGCAAAUGGGUCGUUAAUUUUGUAAUGCUCACUAUUUUAUAUCUUAAUUUUGUUGGUAUGUAUAUUAUAAGAAUAUUAUUAUGGCCUAGAGGAUUGCUUUUUAAAUUCAGAUUAUUUUAAUGAUAAUAAAAAAAAUUUAUAUUGUGUAAGUAAAAUAAAAUUAAAGAGAAAAAGAAAAUAUAAAUGAGGUUAAUCAUAUUUAUAUAUAUCCUUAAAUGUAUUAUAAUAUAAUAGAGAUUUAUAAGAUUAACGACGGGUGCAGAUGGUCGAACCUGCUGUACCGUACAUCCGCCUUGGCCGUANNNNNNNNNNNNNNNNNNNNNNNNNNNNNNNNNNNNNNAAAAAAAAAAAAAAGAGAGAAAGAAAAACACCGCUAUUUGUGAGAACCAAUCUAUUCAUUUAUAACUUUUAAUAAAUAUACACCUUUUUUGACAAAAAACAGGGAGAACCAAUCUCUUCAAUUAAUAACUUUUAAUCAAUCGACGUUGACAUCCGUUGAAGAGUGGGAUGACGUCAUAUGACCGCCUUUAACAAAACACCGCUAUUUUUUUCCUAUCGUUUAAAAAUACUAUUUUAAAAUUAAAAAUCGUUUUUUUUUUUUUUUAAAUAUUGCAACUAACAAUUGGGCCAUUAACACCAUCAAAAUCUAUUAGAAGCACAAUAGUUAGAUUGAUACAAAACAGAAAUUUUAGGUGUUGUUCUUUUGUGGGAUAUGAAUGACCAUCGCAUCCUAGUUUGUUUUUAUUUUUAUUUUUAUUUUUUAAGACCACAAAAGCUGGGUCUUAUUUUGCUUUCUUUUUCUCUUUCAGCCCACGAAGCAUCCAUCGCAUUUAUGGGCUAACAAGUAAACACGCGAGGUUUCUUCCUCUGACAGCCCAUUUGACAAAAAUCAAUAAUUUCGGGCCCUACUUCUUACAUAAUGUGGGCACAAAAGUGAAAAUGAUCCAUUUAUCUUACAUGCAUGUAAGGUAGGAAUUACCAAGUAAAAAAACUAGCAGCCAACGACUUUUCGGUUGAUAUAACAAUACAAAUGAAUACACCAAUAGUCAUGACUCAUAAGUUCUUAUGAGAUUGUAGGUGUUGUAGUAUAACGACGCGGCUAGGGGUGAGCAUAUUUUAACCGAACCGAUCCAAUCCAAAAAUAUUAUAUAAUUACAUUAUAUUCUAAGUUAAGCAAUCUAACUAAUUAUAUUUAUCAUUUUAUGCAGAUUUUGACAAAUCAAAAGGUAUCAAUUUAGAUUACGGACACAAAAAAAUAACAAAUAAGUUAGGUAAAAUAAUACAAAAGAAGUGGGAUUUUAGCUAAUAAUCUCAAACCGAGAAUCCAAACCGAUCCAGUCGGUUCGGUUUGAAAAAAUUUUAGGUUGAUAUCAGUUUGAAAAUAUUUCAAACUGAUAAGUUUGGAUCGGUUUGAGAAUAUGUCUCAAACCGAUCCAAACUGAAUUUGCCCACCCCUAGACGCGGCCAGCUGCGCUCGAACAAGGAUUUUCUUCUCGUGAGCGACGAGCAGUAUAGCGUCCAUGAGCAGGAGUCUUCUGCUUGACACCGAGGAAAUCCUCUGCUGGGGCCAAGGAAUGAGCAUGAGUUUUCUGCUAGACACCGAGGAUAUCUUCUGCUGGGGUCAAGGCCGGAAGACCCGGUCAAUGGCAGUUGUCAGAACGUGUGCUACUUUUUGAGAGUCCAGGCACAAGGUCCACUCAGCCACAAUCACAACGCUCGAGCAUCCACGAUCGAGGAGUAGGUAAAGUGGUGAACAUGGGUCAUGGAGACCGAAUUCUCAACAGGGCUAUAAAAGGGACCUCCAAAGAAGGUAAAUGGGUUAGACACUAAGAACUAAAAAAAUGGAACUAAAAGAAUUCUUGGGGCAUCCUUGUUUGAGACCUCGGGAAAAUUCUAAUAGAUUUUAGUGUUUUGGAAAUUAUUAGAGAGCCACGAUAUCAGUGGCAAAGUUUUUCCAAAGUAAGCCCAGAUUGCUAACUUGAGCGUCAGAGAGUUUGCGCCGGGAAAAUCUCCGGCUUUCUCUGACUUGUUUUUGUGUGUGUAGGAGUUCGCAGAGGAGAAGCAGCAAGCCUUGUAGUCUUGCUCGUCUAAAGAGAGCAGCAUGAAGUUAUCCCCAAUUAACUACAAAUUCAAGUGUUGAGGAGAGAUUAUAGUCGUGAAUGAGCAGACCCAAAAUCUUGUAUCAAUAGGUUAUUUAGUUGAGAGACAAAAAUUAAGUUGAUGAACAUCCACAUAUUUAUAAUUAUUUCACAAUACUCUCUUUUGGAUAUUCAUCCUACUAAUAAUAUGUCUCGUUAAAAUAUUUGCUAAUAAAAUCCUAUGGAUAAAAGACUAGUGAUGAAAAAAUAGUACAUCGUUGAUUUAUAUCUUAAAGAGGUGCUAACUAACUCAUUAAAACCUUACUAAAAAAAUCCAAUGGACAAAAAUCUAGUGAAGGAAAAUUAAUACGGUGCAUGUAGUCCUUCGUAUGAUUAACUCCCCUUGAUAAACAUGCUCCCCCUCGAAAUGACAUGAGUGCUUCAAUGAUCAAUCAUAUUUUGUAACUAAUACUUCUUUGGUGAAGCAAUCUGCAUGAUCGAUACUAUCCGUUUGAAUCUUGUAUUCAUAAAAAAAAAUUUAGAUAAGCUUUUUGUUUCAUAUUAUUUUCAUGUCUUCAAUUUUAUAUGGAACAAUUACAAGAAUGAAAAAUUGCAAAUAUGCAAUUUAGCGUAAAGUGUUUUGCAAUAUAGUGCGGUACUUCAAGACCAAAAAUAAUAUUUUACUAUAGAGGAAGAAAAUUUUGUGCCAAAAAUUAUUUUUCGUGUCAAAGAUUUUCUUUAUAUAUAUGGGAAGGGAUAUUUGAAAUAUUGAAACAAUAUUCAUAUAAUCCAAUGGUGGAUGGCUUAGCCUCAUUAACUACUAUUUUUACUUUCAAUGCGUACAAUUAGAUUGUAUGUGAUCAAUGGUCAAAUGAUGUCAAAAAUUUAAGUUAAAACAUCAUCUCCUAUAUAUAUAUAUAUUGCAAUCAUUAAUACUUAAAAUGGUGAUCCAUUAUAAUGUUGAUAACUUUAGUCAUGGCAUGUCUAGCACUAAUCCCACAAUUAGCAAAUAAACAUUUUCUUCAAGGAAUGUAAAUAUAUUACUAGUAAGAUAAGACCAAUUAUUUACAUUAAAAACUUAAGAUUUUGUUCAUAUAUAAAGAGAAACAAUGACUUCAGUAAAUGUAUUGACAAUCUCAAUUUUCUACUACAAGAGCAUAAAUGAGCAAUAAAAUAUUUACACAUGUUCACUUGUUCUCUUUAUAAAUAUAUUCUUGAUGAUUGCGAAUUUCUCGCUUCACUUGUUGACCAAAUGAAAUUUCUUAUUGGCAUAUCCAGCUCUUUGAGGAUUCUUUGGGCUGGAAGAGUUCAGAAAGAAUUAGCAAGGAUGCUUGCUUUUCUUUCAUAGAUGUAUAAACUAGAAAAUCAUAUGAACUUUUGUUCAAUCUUUUGGUGGUUGCAUAUUUUCUUUCAAUUGCGUCAAGGAAACAAAUUAUCCAGUUGGAUAUUCAAUUUUGAUUCCUUUAAAGAGAUAAAAUAAAUUAUUAUUUUAAUUCAAUCCUUGAACUUUUCAUAUAUGAAGUUAAUGUUCCUUCAAAUUAUUUCAAAGAAUAAGAUCUAUUUUUCAUCAAAUAUCUAAAUUUUUCCUCCUUCAGGGACAUAAUAUAUGAUGAAGAACUCUUUAUGGACAAGAUGCUGAAUAGAAUAUCAUAAUUUUUGUAUAGUUCUUUAGGAGCAUAUACUUAAAGAAAAAUUUCAUUACAUAUAGUGAUAGCAAUUGAAUAUUAUAAUAAGAAGUAUCAAAUAAUAACAAUAUCAAUGAACUGAGCAUUUGAUAAAUAUUGCAAUAAUAAAUGAAGUAACGAACAAAUUCAUAGAUCCAUAAAUAUGAUUUUAGACAAAAUCUAAAUUGCACAAUUCAUACGUUUAUGAUUAAGGUCAAAAGAGAGAAGUUUAUCAUACUACCUUUUUAGUUAGAAACUCGUACUAAUAACAUGCUAAAUUAUUUAUCAAUUAGAAAUAUAAUAUAGUAAAAAAAAUAGAGAAAACAAAUAAAAGACGCAAUAGUUUAUAGAAGAAUUUUAUUCAAUAUCAAAUAUAUAAAAACAGGAGAUGACCCAUCCUUUUAUAGCCACACAACCAUACAAAUAAAGUAAAUAAUUAAUAAAGAGAUGCAUAAUUAGUUAUAAGUUUUUAUGAGAUGGUGAGAGUUGUAGAAUAUGAAGAGUUGUUUGGUUGAAGGAUAAAAGGUUACUUUGAUAAAUAUUUACAUAAUUAUAAUUAUUUCAUAGUAAAUCUUAAUUUGUAUUUAAUUAUAUAUUUCGCUCGUUUAUUGGAUGAUGAAUUUUAUAACCAAUAAAAUUACUAAAUACCAACUAAUUGAUAAAUACCACAUCGAUUACGAUACAAAUUAGAGUUCGAAUAUUAAGAUGUCUAACAUUAUUCAUCACUCUAGAUUAAUUGUCUUGAAACAUUGACACAUUCACUCAAUGUAGAGAAAGAAAACUUACAUGACUUUUUGGCAAUAAUAUUGACAUUAUUGCCAUACGAGGUUUCUUCCUCUAACAGCCCAUUUGACAAAAAUCAACAAUUUCAGGCCCUACUUCUUAAAGAAUGCGGACACAAAAGCAGCCAACUUAAUGGCAAUAAUAUUGAUUCAUUCGUGGGAUUAAUUAAGGAAGCACAAAGAAUAGUCUUUGCCAUGCAGCCAUGCCCAUGGUGGUUCAGUUUCCUAUAUGUGAGGGCAUCACUUUCCAGCAAAUCCAAUAAUUUGGUGCACCCUUUUGCCUACAAUAUUUGGACAUUUUAAUUUCAUCAUCGAAGUUAGCAUGAAAAUGACAUAUUUUAAACUAAUUGUUUGGCACAAUAAACCAAUUACAAGUUUCCCAUUUUGAUGACCUUUCGUUCUCCGUUAGUCCUCUCUUCCACCGAAUGAGGAAAAUAAUUGAUGUUCGAUUAUUUUUAUUUGUGUCUAAAUCUCUAGACCUUUCUAGUAAUGUCCAUUGCCAAUCAACUUUCACAAAUGACGUUAGAGAAGAGAGAAAAAAAAAAAAAAAACACUUUCAUAUUUUGAAUCCUGAAAAUUAAUGUAAAGAUGAUAGAGUGGGCGCAUGGUAAAUAAUAUAAUCGAAAGUCUUCAUACAAAACUAUGAUAUUAUAUUUGCUAGUUAACAAUUUUAUUAUUAUAUUUAACACCAACUUGAGCAGCAUUAAUAAAACUAACAAAUUCAGCUUUGAGUUUCUAUGGCUACAAAUGCAUGGUCAUAAAAGCGGCCCCAAAAAUUGUGAUGCUCAAAUUAUUACCACAUAAAAAAUUCAUAUGAAGAUGAUUUCAUACAGUUGACCUAGUUGUUUUGGAUAAGUUGCACUUAUACCAACUACCAAGAUAUUAAAGAAACCCCCAAAAAAAAAAAAAAAAAGGAACCAAAAGUAAUUAUUUUCUUUCAAUAAUUCAGUGACCAUUCUUCCUUUGUUUUGAACUUUGAAGGAUCUGAUUUGCAGUCUCAGUUUGCUUGGUGUUAUCCCAACAAAUUUCAAAUCAUGCAAACAUUGGCUUACUUAUAUUUUUGGGUGAUGGAGUUUGACAAUUUUAGCAAAUUUUUAAUAAUUGAAAUGUCUUUGUUCACAUUCGUGAAAAAAAAUUUCUUUGGAGAAGUUAUGAAAAUAGACAAAAAUUUGGGGGCUAGUUCUAAAUUUAGCCAACUUUCUAUUUUCCUUUCUUUUAUCCCCCAGGAAAAAAAAAUGUAGCGGGCAAAAAUUCUCUCCAAAGAGAGAAUUCUUUUAUUUUUCUCUAAAAAAAAUGAUAAUUCAUUUCUUUCAUUAUCUUUUUAUUUCCCUCUUAGUCAAAUUUCAAUGUCAUUAAAGUAGUUUAUCUAAUAAAUAUCAAUAGGAAGAGCAAGAAUGAAAAAAAAAAAAUUUAAUGCUUCAUCUUUGUAGUGAGCACUUAAUGUGUGUUUAAAUAAUAACACGUAAAUUUUAAGUUUGUGCUAAAUGAUAUUAUUGCGUUCACUAAGAAUCUAUUAACGCUUUCAAUAUCAUACGUUGGAGAGAGUAAUUUAGGAUAUUGUAGUAAAAAUUUUAAAACAAGACUAUUCAAUAAUAUUUCUAUCUACGAUGGGAAUUUUUUUUUUUUAUGUUGUAUAAGUAUGAGAAAUAAUAACGGGCUAAAAUUAUACAGAUUGCUUUCAAAGGUUAUUUCCU
rnacentral:lncRNA from 1 species